rnacentral:rRNA from 1 species
UACGUAGGGUGCAAGCGUUGUUCGGAUUCAUUGGGCGUAAAGGGUGCGUAGGCGGCGCGGUAAGUCGGGUGUGAAAUCUCGGAGCUUAACUCCGAAACUGCAUUCGAUACUGCCGUGCUUGAGGACUGGAGAGGAGACUGGAAUUUACGGUGUAGCGGUGAAAUGCGUAGAUAUCGUAAGGAAGACCAGUGGCGAAGGCGGGUCUCUGGACAGUUCCUGACGCUGAGGCACGAAAGGUCAGGGGAGCAAACGGG